rnacentral:lncRNA from 1 species
UGGUGUGUGGUGAUAAUUCUUUUUUCUUUUAUCUGUUCAGUUUGGGUGAUUUCCUCUAGUUUUUCAUCCAGCUCACUGCUCAGUUCUUCUAUAUCACCUACUCUGCUAUUGAGUCCCUCUAGUGAAUUUUUCACUUCCAAUAUUGUAUUCUUCAUUUCUGAUUGGUUCUUUUUUAUAUUUUCCAGUUCUUUGUUGAUGUUGUCAAUGUAUUCAUCCAUUCUUCUCCCAAGAUUGGUCCCAGUCACGAACCUAAGAGGGUAGAGAAAAAGAUCCUUUCCCUCCCCAACAAUUUCUAAAAUGGAGAUUAUAAUAUCUACCCCAGAGAAUUAGCCUUAACAAUUAAAUGAAUGUGGAAUGUUUGGCCCAUAAGUUUCACCGCUUAUGAUGAAGAGAAUGAGAAUACUGCCUACUUCAGUCCUGUGCAAAGAAAUGCAGGUACCCA